rnacentral:lncRNA from 1 species
GGAAAUCGUAUAAAUUUAUUAAUUUAUAAUGUUUAUUUAUUUGAAGAAUAAUGAUGUACUCUGAAAUUAUUAUUAUUAUUAUUAUUUUCUCCGUGAAAGCGAUUGUGGUAUAUAUUUGUAGCCAUCUUAAUACCAUAUCAUGAUGAUAUGUCAUAUUGAGAAUCCUAAUUUCCAACUAAUAUGAAUAUGUAUGUAUCGACUAAUUAAAAUCGUUAAUAAGCAUUGGCAACCGAAACUCGCUGUAAUUUAUUAUAAAAAUAAAUAAAACACAUUCUUUCAAGAGAGAAAUCUGCAGUAACAAAAACUUAACAAUGGCUGAACACAAUUCUCGUAGGGCCAACCGUUCUCUCCCAAAAACAAAACAAAGCAAAGCUUCACGUGUCCUUCCCUCUUUCCCUUAUAUUUCUUUCUCAUUCUCAUUAACCCUAGGGCCUCUCAUCCCCAUAAAAAUCUCCUGCAAACAAAAACUGAAAAUUAUUAUAUUUGUAAGCAAAGCAGGAAACACAAAGUCUCUUUCUUUGUCCCUAACAUCAAACGGAAAUUAUUGACAACAAAAAUCACCAAAUUUUGGUCGGAAAAUCAAGAAAUGGAGCUUCAACAGUUAAUGCACCUCAUUUUGCUCUGGUAUACUAUGCAAACUACCCGUUUGGUCCUUGUGAGUGGAAAUCACACUGCCGCUAGUUUACGUUCUCGCUGAGUCAUUUCCUUUUCCUCUUCCUCUUCCAUCCUUAUUUUCUUCCUUUCCCUCUGUAAAGAAAUAAAAAGAUUUCUUUAGUAUUUCCUUUUCUUUUUACACAUAUAGGCAUUUCUUAGAAACAAUAAAAUUAUUCUAUUUGUAUAAACAUGUCUAUUCAACUUCAACAGGAGUUCCAAUCUUCUAAAUGUCUCAUUAAAAUGAAGGCCUUGCCUUCAACUUGCUCGAAUGGUGAUACGUACUUGAUCAUCAAGCUUCCUCAUUCCAGACUUUUGAAACUUUUCGCUCGAUUAAUUGUUUUGGCUUUCAUUUUUG